UGGGGAAUAUUGGACAAUGGGCGAAAGCCUGAUCCAGCCAUGCCGCGUGUGUGAAGAAGGUCUUCGGAUUGUAAAGCACUUUAAGUUGGGAGGAAGGGCAGUAAGCGAAUACCUUGCUGUUUUGACGUUACCGACAGAAUAAGCACCGGCUAACUCUGUGCCAGCAGCCGCGGUAAUACAGAGGGUGCAAGCGUUAAUCGGAAUUACUGGGCGUAAAGCGCGCGUAGGUGGUUCGUUAAGUUGAAUGUGAAAGCCCCGGGCUCAACCUGGGAACUGCAUCCAAAACUGGCGAGCUAGAGUAGGGCAGAGGGUGGUGGGAUUUCCUGUGUAGCGGUGAAAUGCGUAAAUAUAGGAAGGAACACCAGUGGCGAAGGCGACCACCUGGGCUCAUACUGACACUGAGGUGCGAAAGCGUGGGGAGCAAACAGG
rnacentral:rRNA from 1 species